GACGAACGCUGGCGGCGUGCCUAACACAUGCAAGUCGAACGGAAAGGUCCUGCUUUUGUGCGGUGCUCGAGUGGCCAACGGGUGAGUAACACGUGGGUAACCUGUCCCUGACUGUGGGAUAACCUCAUGAAACUGGGGCUAUUCCCGGAUAGGAGCUCUUGCCGCUUGGUGGGGGCUGGAAAGAUUCGGUGGUUGGGGGUGGACUGGCGGCUUAUCAGCUUGUUGGUUGGGUAGUGGCUUACCAAGGCUUUGCCCGGUAGCCGACCUGGGAGGGGGACCGGCCAAGCUGCGACUGAGAUGCGACCCAGACUCCAACCGGAGGCAAGGGAGGAGAGUGGUACACAGUGGGCGGGGGGCAGGUGCGACAACGCCGCGUGCGGGAAGACGGCCAUCGGGUUGUAAACCACUUUCGCCUGUGACGGGGCGUUAGUGACGGUAAUGGGUGAAGAAGCACCGGCUAACUACGUG
rnacentral:rRNA from 1 species